CUCUUAUCCAGAGAGGUGGAGGGACUGGCCCUUUGAAGCCUCGGCAACCUGUAGCGUUAUGCUACCAAUAGGUGCCAAUUCCAGCAAGACUGCACAGGAGGUGCGGUUUGGCAGAUAAGAG
rnacentral:ncRNA from 1 species